UACGAAGGGGGCUAGCGUUGUUCGGAAUCACUGGGCGUAAAGCGCACGUAGGCGGAUUUUUAAGUCAGGGGUGAAAUCCCGAGGCUCAACCUCGGAACUGCCUUUGAUACUGGAGAUCUUGAGUCCGGAAGAGGUAAGUGGAACUGCGAGUGUAGAGGUGAAAUGCGUAGAUAUCGGGAGGAACACCAGUGGCGAAGGCGAUUAUCUGGGGUGAAUCUGACGCUGAGGAACGAAAGCUAGGGGAGCAAACAGG
rnacentral:rRNA from 1 species